rnacentral:rRNA from 1 species
GAAACGACUGCUAAGACUGGAUAGGAAGAUAAAAGGCAUCUUUUAUCUUUUAAAAGACCUAGUAAUAGGUAUGCUUUAGGAGGGGCUUGCGCCAUAUUAGUUAGUUGGUAGGGUAAUGGCCUACCAAGACGAUGAUAUGUAGCUGGACUGAGAGGUUGAACAGCCACAUUGGGACUGAGACACGGCCCAAACUCCUACGGGAGGCAGCAGUAGGGAAUUUUCGGCAAUGGAGGAAACUCUGACCGAGCAACGCCGCGUGAAUGACGAAGUACUUCGGUAUGUAAAGUUCUUUUAUCAAGGAAGAAAAGCAAAUGGCGAACCAUUUGUUUGCCGGUACUUGAUGAAUAAGCCCCGGCUAAUUAUGUGCCAGCAGCCGCGGUAAGACAUAAGGGGCAAGUGUUAUCCGGAAUUAUUGGGCGUAAAGGGUGCGUAGGCGGUCUAGUAAGUCAGUGGUGUAAUGGCAACGCUUAACGUUGUCCGGCUAUUGAAACUGCUAAACUUGAGUUAGAUAGAGGCGAGUGGAAUUCCAUGUGUAGCGGUAAAAUGCGUAAAUAUAUGGAGGAACACCAGAGGCGUAGGCGGCUCGCUGGGUCUUAACUGACGCUGAGGCACGAAAGCGUGGGGAGCAAACAGGAUUAGAUACCCUGGUAGUCCACGCCGUAAACGAUGAGUACUAAGUGUCGGGUUAAACCGGUACUGAAGUUAACACAUUAAGUACUCCGCCUGAGUAGUACGUACGCAAGUAUGAAACUUAAAGGAAUUGACGGGACUCCGCACAAGCGGUGGAUCAUGUUGUUUAAUUCGAAGAUACCCGAAAAACCUUACCAGGUCUUGACAUGUUUUUGCAAAAUGAUAGUAAUAUCGUGGAGGUUACCAGAAACACAGGUGGUGCAUGGUUGUCGUCAGCUCGUGUCGUGAGAUGUUAGGUUAAGUCCUAAAACGAGCGAAACCCUUAUCGUUAGUUGCCAGCACGUUAUGGUGGGGACUUUAACGAGACUGCCAAUGAUAAAUUGGAGGAAGGUGAGGAUCACGUCAAAUCAGCAUGCCCCUUAUGACCUGGGCUACAAACGUGAUACAAUGGCUGUUACAAAGGGUAGCUGAAACGCAAGUUCUUGGCCAAUCCCCAAAACCAGUCCCAGUCCGGAUUGAAGUCUGCAACUCGACUUCAUGAAGUUGGAAUCGCUAGUAAUCGCGAAUCAGCAUGUCGCGGUGAAUACGUUCUCGGGUUUGUACACACCGCCCGUCA